AACGCACAUUGCGCCCGCCGGCACUCCGGCGGGCAUGCCUGUCCGAGCGUCAUUUCAACCCUCAGGACCACCCUUCGGGGCUGGACCUGGUGCUGGGGAUCAGCGGCCUCCGGGUCCCUGUCCCCCAAAUGAAGUGGCGGUCGCGCCGCAGCCUCCCCUGCGUAGUAGCACAACCUCGCACCGGAGAGCGGCACGGCCACGCCUUGAAACCCCCAUAUUUCUAAGGUUGACCUCGGAUCAGGUAGGAAUACCCGCUGAACUUAA
rnacentral:misc_RNA from 1 species